rnacentral:rRNA from 1 species
UACAGAGGGUGCAAGCGUUGUUCGGAAUUAUUGGGCGUAAAGCGCGUGUAGGCGGCUUUGCAAGUCGGGUGUGAAAUCCCUCAGCUCAACUGAGGAAGUGCGCCCGAAACUGCAGAGCUUGAGUACCGGAGAGGAUGGCGGAAUUCCCGAAGUAGAGGUGAGAUUCGUAGAUAUCGGGAGGAACACCGGUGGCGAAGGCGGCCAUCUGGACGGAUACUGACGCUGAGACGCGAAAGCGUGGGGAGCAAACAGG